rnacentral:rRNA from 1 species
AUUGAACGCUGGCGGCAGGCCUAACACAUGCAAGUCGAACGAGUGGCGGACGGGUGAGUAAUGUCUGGGAAACUGCCUGAUGGAGGGGGCUAACUACUGGAAACGGUAGCUAAUACCGCAUACCAUCAGAUGUGCCCAGAUGGGAUUAGCUUGUUGGGGGGGUAACGGCUCACAAAGGCGACGAUCCCUAGCUGGUCUGAGAGGCUGACCGGCCAAACGGGAACUGAGACACGGUCCAGACUCCUACGGGAGGCAGCAUGGGGAAAUAUUGCACAAUGGGCGCAAGCUGGAUGCAGCCAUGCCGCGGGUAUGAGGAAGGCCUUCGGGUUGUAAAGUACUUUCAGCGGGGAGGCGUUACCCGCAGAAGAAGCACCGGCUAACUCCGUGCCAGCAGCCGCGGUAAUUC